rnacentral:rRNA from 1 species
AUUGAACGCUGGCGGCAGGCCUAACACAUGCAAGUCGAGCGGAUGAAGGGAGCUUGCUCCUGGAUUCAGCGGCGGACGGGUGAGUAAUGCCUAGGAAUCUGCCUGGUAGUGGGGGAUAACGUCCGGAAACGGGCGCUAAUACCGCAUACGUCCUGAGGGAGAAAGUGGGGGAUCUUCGGACCUCACGCUAUCAGAUGAGCCUAGGUCGGAUUAGCUAGUUGGUGGGGUAAAGGCCUACCAAGGCGACGAUCCGUAACUGGUCUAAGAGGAUGAUCAGUCACACUGGAACUGAGACACGGUUCAGACUCCUACGGGAGGCAGCAGUGGGGAAUAUUGGACAAUGGGCGAAAGCCUGAUCCAGCCAUGCCGCGUGUGUGAAGAAGGUCUUCGGAUUGUAAAGCACUUUAAGUUGGGAGGAAGGGCAGUAAGUUAAUACCUUGCUGUUUUGACGUUACCAACAGAAUAAGCACCGGCUAACUUCGUG